rnacentral:lncRNA from 1 species
CAUUACAUUUAUAUAUGUGUAUUUCUGAUACUGCAAUAUAUAAAUACAAAUGAAAUCUACUUAUCUUGAUAUUCACAAUCUUUAUGAAACUGGUAAAAUAAUAUUCCUGAAUUUUAUUUUAUUGCUGUUAUUGCAACCAAAUACAGCAAAGUGUAGCAUAGUAUAAUGAAAAUUUUACAGAUAGUUACAUUAAAUUAAAAUAAAUAUAUUUUAAUCUAAUUACACUGUUUUCUUAUUUAAUUUAUUGCAUCUAUGGUGUUAAAUUACUUGACUUGGCUAUACGUCAUAAAAACAGCAGUUAGCAGAAGACAAGUGAGCAUAAUUACAUCUUUUAAUCUUUCAUCAUCGGGAAUACUUUUCUUCCUUUAGGGAGCAUUCAUAAAUUAUGUCACAUUGUUUUGAGCACUUUUUGAUCUUUCUCUUCCCUUCAUUAUUUUUUGUCUACAUCCAGUUUGACACCUCUGACCAUGAUGUCACAAAUUUGAAGAGUCCCUCCCCUACUACUAAAAUAUCCUUUCUCCAAUUUUAUGUGAAAAUAAAUAUAUAUAUGUAUAAAAUAGUAGAAAAUAGGAACUACUUUGCAUUAUUACUUGGUUACAUAUAUUCUUUAACUUUCAAAUAAAUCUUCAAACAAACUGAAAAUAAAUAUCUUAGAUAUAUGUG